AUUUUAAUAGCUUAAAUUGGAAAGCAAAGCAUUGAAGCUGCUAGGAUGGCAAGUAUGUCUUAAGAUA
rnacentral:tRNA from 1 species